rnacentral:rRNA from 1 species
UGCUUUACACAUGCAAGUCGAACGGCAGCACGGACUUCGGUCUGGUGGCGAGUGGCGAACGGGUGAGUAAUAUAUCGGAACGUGCCCAGUCGUGGGGGAUAACGUAGUGAAAAUUACGCUAAUACCGCAUACGAUCUACGGAUGAAAGCGGGGGAUCGCAAGACCUCGCGCGAUUGGAGCGGCCGAUAUCAGAUUAGGUAGUUGGUGGGUAAAGGCUCACCAAGCCAACGAUCUGUAGCUGGUCUGAGAGGACGACCAGCCACACUGGAACUGAGACACGGUCCAGACUCCUACGGGAGGCAGCAGUGGGGAAUUUUGGACAAUGGACGCAAGCCUGAUCCAGCAAUACCGCGUGUGUGAAGAAGGCCUGAGGGUUGUAAAGCUC